rnacentral:rRNA from 1 species
CCUACGGGUGGCUGCAGUCGGGAAUUUGGGCAAUGGGCGAAAGCCUGACCCAGCAACGCCGCGUGAGUGAUGAAGGCCUUCGGGUCGUAAAGCUCUGUCGAGAGGGAAGAAUGUUCUCGGGGCAAACAAUCCCGGGAGCGUGACGGUACCUCCAAAGGAAGCGCCGGCUAACUCUGUGCCAGCAGCCGCGGGAAUACAGAGGGCGCAAGCGUGCGUCGGAAUUACUGGGCGGGAAUCGCGUGUAGGCGGCGAAAGCCCGGGGCUCAACCCCGGAACUGCACUCGAAACUGCCUCGCUCGAGUCCCGGAGAGGGUGGCGGAAUUCCCGGUGUAGAGGUGAAAUUCGUAGAUAUCGGGAGGAACACCAGUGGCGAAGGCGGCCACCUGGACGGUGACUGACGCUGAGACGCGAAAGCGUGGGGAGCAAACAGGAUUAGAUACCCGUGUAGUC